CAUUGUGAUACACUGUGAUGAGUAUACUAUCAGAAAUAACAAUAAGCACUAUGAGAAUAUGGAUAUAACAGUUUGAGUUAGUCACAAGAAGAUGAAGGUUUGCUGUAUUUCUGACAUGUUUUUUUAAAUGUGUUGGAUGUUUUCUGCUUCCUUUUUUGGAUCAUUUAUAUAUUAUUUCUCAACUUUUUUACUUAAUAUUUUACGUUCUGAAAUAUUUUAUAUAUUGAGAUAUGAUAUUGAAGCUUUUGAAUCUCUUCAUGUUUUCAUUAUAUUGUAUGUACUUCAGUAAUUCAUAGAAAUAUUGGAAUAUAUUUACUUAAAACCUAAUUUUUUAGAAAGAUAUUAUUUAAUUGACUAUUCUUACUUGCCAGGUACUUUCUAGAAUACUUAAUUUUAUUGUACUUUUCAUUAUUUACCGUUUAUAAUUUGGAGGUAAGACCAUUAGACCCAAAGAACUUUUGUCUUGGUGUGUUCUUGUUUAAAUAUGGAAUUUAUUUUACAAAAUAGUUUUGUUUUGUAUACAUGUCUAGUCUCAAGGGCGAAGUGAAAUCUUAAUGAGUCUACAGAAAGUUCUAAGUGGACUGGGUGGUGCAGCAGCUUCCUCCCAUCGUGAUAUUUACAAGAAUGCCAGGUCUCUCUUGACUGAUAGGUCAAUGGCUGUUCGAUGUGCAGUGGCCAAGUGUCUACUAGAACUACAGAAUGAAGCUGUAUUUAUGUGGACUGCUGAACUAGAAAAUAUAGCCACUCUCU
rnacentral:lncRNA from 1 species